rnacentral:rRNA from 1 species
CCCUUAGAUGUUCUGGGCCGCACGCGCGCUACACUGAUGCAUUCAACGAGCCUAUCCUUGACCGACAGGUCCGGGUAAUCUUUGAAUCUGCAUCGUGACGGGGAUAGAUUAUUGCAAUUAUUAAUCUUCAACAAGGAAUGCCUAGUAGGCGCAAGUCAUCAGCUUGCGUCGAUUACGUCCCUGCCCUUUGUACACACCGCCCGUCGCUCCUACCGAUUGGGUGUGCUGGUGAAAUGUUCGGAUCGGCCGUUUGUCGCGGUUUCCGCGUCAUGUGGCUGAGAAGUUCAUUAAACCCUCCCACCUAGAGGAAGGAGAAGUCGUAACA